rnacentral:rRNA from 1 species
ACUGCAGUCGAGCGACAGAUAAGGAGCUUGCUCCUUUGACGUUAGCGGCGGACGGGUGAGUAACACGUGGGUAACCUACCUAUAAGACUGGAAUAACUCCGGGAAACCGGGGCUAAUGCCGGAUAACAUUUAGAACCGCAUGGUUCUAAAGUGAAAGAUGGUUUUGCUAUCACUUAUAGAUGGACCCGCGCCGUAUUAGCUAGUUGGUAAGGUAACGGCUUACCAAGGCAACGAUACGUAGCCGACCUGAGAGGGUGAUCGGCCACACUGGAACUGAGACACGGUCCAGACUCCUACGGGAGGCAGCAGUAGGGAAUCUUCCGCAAUGGGCGAAAGCCUGACGGAGCAACGCCGCGUGAGUGAUGAAGGUCUUCGGAUCGUAAAACUCUGUUAUUAGGGAAGAACAAAUGUGUAAGUAACUAUGCACGUCUUGACGGUACCUAAUCAGAAAGCCACGGCUAACUACGUGCCAGCAGCCGCGGUAAUACGUAGGUGGCAAGCGUUAUCCGGAAUUAUUGGGCGUAAAGCGCGCGUAGGCGGUUUCUUAAGUCUGAUGUGAAAGCCCACGGCUCAACCGUGGAGGGUCAUUGGAAACUGGGAAACUUGAGUGCAGAAGAGGAAAGUGGAAUUCCAUGUGUAGCGGUGAAAUGCGCAGAGAUAUGGAGGAACACCAGUGGCGAAGGCGACUUUCUGGUCUGUAACUGACGCUGAUGUGCGAAAGCGUGGGGAUCAAACAGGAUUAGAUACCCUGGUAGUCCACGCCGUAAACGAUGAGUGCU